GUGUGAAACGUUACAGCAAACACAAUAUUUGUGAAGAGUGUUGGUGAAGUUCAUCGUUUCAAAUAAUGCAUGUUACGUUCCUCCAGAGUUCAGGAUUGAUCCUUACAAAUGCGAAAGAAAGAAAAUCGAAUCUCCAAACUACGAAAAUGAAGUAAUUGCUUACAAACGACCAAAUGAAGAAAAUUUGAGAUAUUUUCACAGUGGAUCUAUCGGAUGGGACUUUGAUAUCAUCCGUCCCAUUAUUUUGACUCGUCUUGGCAUCUCUUUAUCAUCGUUGAAUUCAAAAAGAAACUCUUCUGUUCGACUCUACGACAGAACAACUAAGAGCGAAAUUAUAUCUGUUUAUUUCUCUUUCCAAGACCCUGGUACAACA